AAGACUGAGACUGCCUUUUGGCUAAGCUCAAGUGUAUGUGUUCUUAUUAGCUUAAUAUGUGAUAUGUCCUGUAUCCGAGGACAACGUAUCAGACGGGUUUUUGGCCCCAGGAAAUGGGAUAGGAGUAUGCUCCACCACUCCACCACUCCACAUACUGGUAUUGCAGUAUUGUCAGGAACGGUGCACCCCUC
ensembl:snRNA U2 U2 spliceosomal RNA